AUGCCCCACGAGCCCAGAGAACCCGCACAGGGACGCAGCGACUUCCCGCGGCAGCGUCCAGCCUGGCCACCCAGCCCACGGGCCUCCAGGCAGGGGCGGAUGGGCCAUCUGGCAGCUGGACAGCCUCCCUGGGCCUUGAUGACCGUGACCUCCAUGAGGGCCCCAUCAGCCCCUCUGUACAGACGGAGCCUCAAGAGGCCACGCUCGGAUCUGGCCGCAGCCAGGCCACAGCGGCUGGCUCAGCAUGCCUCCCCCACCCUGUGGCAGCCCCUGCACUGGCCGCUUGGCAGUAGGACCCCCGCGCCCUCGGCCACCACCAGAGCCUCCCAUGACCCCCAUCACGGCCCUCAAUCCCAAAGCCCACCCUCUCCUGCCUCCCCAGCACCCCCUGCCUCAGUGCCCCUUCCCGCUGGACCUCCGUGGACUCUUCUCGGCCUUGCCAACAACCACAAACAGCCUCCAGGAGGGGCCAAGACCAGGGUCGACGGUGCGGGAGGGGGACCUGGGGAUUGUAUGCUUCCACCGCUGGCACCUGCCCUCGGGACAUGGGCAGAUAGCCUCCUCGAGCUGCAAGCCCCUGGCAGCUCUGGAUGGGAGGUGGGGCCCGGGGCUGCCGAUCACCGUCCAGCCAGAUGGCUGACACGCACCCCCAGGGCAGCACCACACCGAGGGGCCGCAGUGACCAGACCCUGGCCCAGGGCAGCUGGACUCCAGGAGGCCCAGAUUCAGGGGCGGGGCCACACCAAGGCCGGGGGACGCAAGCCAGGCAGGCAGAGGUGUCCAGCUCUCUUGGCCGGCCCCCCGGCAUGUGACACAGAGUGGCAGGGACCCAGAACCACAGCCCUCGAGGCUCCAGACCCACCCCGACUCCCCAAACCCACACGCCGUCCACAGAGCCGCUCGGGCAGCAGGGCGCAGCCCCUCCCGGGGAGCCGCGGCCCGCUGGACCUCCAUGGACCCUUGCCACCUGGCCUCGCGGGCGGUCAGCUGCCGCCUGCACCUUCAGAAAGACAGCAAAGGACAACCUCUCCAUCAGAGGCCUUGAGCACAGCGCCCGCACCUGCCCAGAGCUGA
rnacentral:lncRNA from 1 species